ensembl:snoRNA SNORD115 Small nucleolar RNA SNORD115
GGGUCUAGGAAGCCAAAACAAUGUCAGGAAGAGAGGUGAUGACAUAUAAAUCAUGCUCAAUAUAAUUAUUCUGAUGUCC